UACGAAGGGUGCGAGCGUUGUUCGGAAUCACUGGGCGUAAAGGGCGCGUAGGCGGCCCUUCUUGUCGCGUGUGAAAGCCCCGGGCUCAACCUGGGAAUGGCGCGCGAGACGGGGGGGCUGGAGUUCGGGAGAGGAGCGUGGAAUUCCCAGUGUAGAGGUGAAAUUCGUAGAUAUUGGGAAGAACACCGGUGGCGAAGGCGGCGCUCUGGACCGAGACUGACGCUGAGGCGCGAAAGCGUGGGGAGCAAACAGG
rnacentral:rRNA from 1 species